AGUCGAGCGGGGAGGUUGCUUCGGUAACUGACCUAGCGGCGGACGGGUGAGUAAUGCAUAGGAAUCUGCCUAUUAGUGGGGGACAACAUUCCGAAAGGGAUGCUAAUACCGCAUACGUCCUACGGGAGAAAGCAGGGGAUCAUUUGACCUUGCGCUAAUAGAUGAGCCUAAGUCGGAUUAGCUAGUUGGUGGGGUAAAGGCCUACCAAGGCGACGAUCUGUAGCGGGUCUGAGAGGAUGAUCCGCCACACUGGGACUGAGACACGGCCCAGACUCCUACGGGAGGCAGCAGUGGGGAAUAUUGGACAAUGGGGGGAACCCUGAUCCAGCCAUGCCGCGUGUGUGAAGAAGGCCUUUUGGUUGUAAAGCACUUUAUUCGAGGAGGAGGCUUACCUGGUUAAUACCUGGGAUAAGUGGACGUUACUCCCACAAUAAGCACCGGCUAACUCUGUGCCACCAGCCGCGGUAAUACAGAGGGUGCGAGCGUUAAUCGGAUAUACUGGGCGUAAAGCGCGCGUAUGUGGCUAAUUAAGUCAAAUGUGAAAUCCCCGAGCUUAACUUGGGAAUUGCAUUCGAUACUGUUUGGCUAGAGUAUGGGAGAGGAUGGUAAUAAUUCCUGGUGUAUCGGUGAAAUGCGUAGAGAUCUGGAAGAGUACCGAUGGCGAAGGCAGCCAUCUGGCCUAAUACUAGACACUGAGGUGCGAAAGCAUGGGGAGCAACACAGGAUUAUAUACACUCGUAGUUCUAUGCCGUAAACGAUGUCUACUAGCCGUUGGGGGGAUUCUGAUCCUUUUAUUGGAGGCAGCUAACGCGAAUAGUAGACCGCCCUGGGGAGUA
rnacentral:rRNA from 1 species